rnacentral:rRNA from 1 species
AUUGAACGCUGGCGGCAGGCUUAACACAUGCAAGUCGAGCGAGCGGCGGACGGGUGAGUAAUGUCUGGGAAACUGCCUGAUGGAGGGGGAUAACUACUGGAAACUGUAGCUAAUACCCCAUACCAUCAUUUGUGCCCAGAUGGGUUUAGCUAGUAGGUGGGGUAAUGGCUCACCUAGGCGACGAGCCCUAGCUGGUCUGAGAGGAUGCCCAGCCACACUGGAAUGCAGACCCGGUCCAGACGCUUACGAGAGGCAGCAGUGGGGAAUAUUGCACAAUGGGGGCAAGCCUGAUGCAGCCAUGCCGCGUGUGUGAAGAAGGCCUUGGGGUUGUAAAGCACUUUCAGCGAGGAGGCGUUACUCGCAGAAGAAGCACCGGCUAACUCCGUGCCAGGCGCCGCGGUAAUUC